GCCCCGCCCCGCUUCCCGGUUCUCACUUUCCUCCCACCCGUUUCGCCGGGUUCGGGGGCGAGGCAGGGAUGGAGCCGGGUCGCUCCGGCCGGGACAGCCGGCCCCCUCCCCCAGUUUUCUUUUCUCAUAUUGGCAACUAUUUCCUUGGCUGAAGGAAAGAAUGGAAUCAACAUUUUUGGUGUUUGGCUCUGUACGAGAACUGUGUUGUACACAUAGAAGCUGCAACUGUCUCCAGCCACCAUCAUCAUCAUCAUCAUCUCCUGGGGAAGGAGACUCCGUUAGCCUCCGAAAGAGAUGAAGAAACUGAGGCUAGAACCAAAGUGAUAGAAAAUGAAAGAUCAGUCAAGCCAGGGCCGAAAAGAGGCCUUUCAGAGAUGGGGAACAGGGUCAUUUCUCCAGAAAAUUUCCCAGCUGGAAAUCGACGUACUCAGCAGUAGGGUUAAAGCUUCUGAAUGCCUGUGCUGAGUAACGCAUGAGACCAUUGGCCUACAUAGAUGAAUAAACAAUUAGAUGUA